AGAAUUUGUUUGCCCUCUAGGGUAGAAUCCGCCAAGCUUUGAGAGAAGGCUGUGACUGCUGUGCUCUGGGCGCCAGCUCGCUCCAGGGAGUGAUGGGAAUCCUGUCAUUCUUACCUGUCCUUGCCACUGAGAGUGACUGGGCUGACUGCAAGUCCCCCCAGCCUUGGGGUCAUAUGCUUCUGUGGACAGCUGUGCUAUUCCUGGCUCCUGUUGCUGGGACACCUGCAGCUCCCCCAAAGGCUGUGCUGAAACUCGAGCCCUAGUGGAUCAACGUGCUCCAAGAGGACUCUGUGACUCUGACAUGCCGGGGGACUCACAGCCCUGAGAGCGACUCCAUUCCGUGGUUCCACAAUGGGAAUCUCAUUCCCACCCACACGCAGCCCAGCUACAGGUUCAAGGCCAACAACAAUGACAGCGGGGAGUACACGUGCCAGACUGGCCAGACCAGCCUCAGCGACCCUGUGCAUCUGACUGUGCUUUCUGAAUUGAAAAGCACAGACCACAACUGAAUCCUAGCCCUGGAAAUGACUCACUAUACAACAUGAUGAAUUCAUUUAACCCUUGAGUUUCCAUUUCUUCACCUGCUCCGUGGGGCACUAACGCCUCCCUCAGAGGCUUCUGAGUGGCUGGUGCUCCAGACCCCUCACCUGGAGUUCCAGGAGGGAGAAACCAUCGUGCUGAGGUGCCACAGCUGGAAGGACAAGCCUCUGGUCAAGGUCACAUUCUUCCAGAAUGGAAAAUCCAAGAAAUUUUCCCGUUCGGAUCCCAA
rnacentral:lncRNA from 10 species